rnacentral:RNase_P_RNA from 1 species
ACCAAGGUGCGCGCAUUCGCCCGGCCCAACGCCGGGAGGAAAGUCCGGACACCACAGGGCAGGAUUCCGCGUGAAAACGCGGGCACUGGCUUUCAAAGGCCGGUGACGGAAAGUGUCACAGAAAACACACCGCCCGGGCUCACGCCUAGGCAAGGGUGAAAAGGUGGGGUAAGAGCCCACCGCGGCAACGGCAACGAAACCGGCAGGACAAACCCAAUCCGGUGCAAGACCAAAUAGGGAGGCAGGGCGGCCCGCCCAAUGUCUCCGGGUAGGUUGCACCGCCGCAAGGCGGAACCUCCACCGCAAGGCGGAGGUUAGAGGAAUGAAUGCGGACGGUCUCGCUUGCGAGACCGCCACAGAAUCCGGCUUACAGCACCUUGGUUGGC